GCUAAUACCGCAUACGACCUACGGGUGAAAGCAGGGGAUCUUCGGACCUUGCGCGAUUGAAUGAGCCGAUGUCGGAUUAGCUAGUUGGCGGGGUAAAGGCCCACCAAGGCGACGAUCCGUAGCUGGUCUGAGAGGAUGAUCAGCCACACUGGAACUGAGACACGGUCCAGACUCCUACGGGAGGCAGCAGUGGGGAAUAUUGGACAAUGGGCGCAAGCCUGAUCCAGCCAUACCGCGUGGGUGAAGAAGGCCUUCGGGUUGUAAAGCCCUUUUGUUGG
rnacentral:rRNA from 4 species